GACGUAGGGCGCGAGCGUUGUCCGGAUUUAUUGGGCGUAAAGAGCUCGUAGGCGGUCUGUCGCGUCGGUCGUGAAAACUUGGGGCUUAACCCUGAGCUUGCGGUCGAUACGGGCAUGACUGGAGUUCGGUAGGGGAGACUGGAAUUCCUGGUGUAGCGGUGAAAUGCGCAGAUAUCAGGAGGAACACCCGUAGCGAAGGCGGCACUCUGGGCCGAUACUGACACUGAGGAGCGAAAGCCAGGGGAGCGAACGGG
rnacentral:rRNA from 1 species